CACCUUAAAAGCCAGCUUCUAAUUCAAUGACAGGAGUGGAUUAUUUUCAGUGCUUGGCAAAAGAAGAAAAAGACAGCAACCGAAAUGAAUCGAUUCCUUCAGCUUCAGAUCCUUCAGCUUGUGUUGCUGGUACAGUGUCAGGUGUUUGCUGCAUUGAUCAAGCCAGGUGGAUGCCCACGCGCACAAAAAGUACUAAACAUGUACUGCUCGGAUAAAAGGAGGACUUUGGAUCGCUUAACUGCAGACAUUGCAAACGGCAUAGAAACGUCCCAUGAUGAAAGCAUUCUUCUUCCCCAUGGAAUAUUUGACAGAGUCAGAGGGACAAGAUGGCACGGUUGUAUUUUGAAGGAAAUAAUUUUGUUUUACACAGGGGUAUUGAAAAACUACAAAGGCCACAAAACAUUCACUGACACAGUUCAAGAAGACGUAAUGCACACCAUUUAUUCACUGCAGCAAUGUUUUGAAGUGGAGAAGAUCCCCUGUGAAAAUCUAAAGAAGAUGCCAGUAAAUGAGACUCGCUGUGUGAACACAUUGACGCCACGUGAAGUGACAAAACUUCAGAUUCAGAAGCUUCAGCGUGCUAGACAUCAGAAGAAUGAUGUGAAGAUCCAAGAAAAGGCCAUUGUCGAACUUCAGGGGCUUUCUUGUUACUUCAGUGACAGGUCACACAUGGAAUUUUGCUUCACUUAAUUGUGAACAAACUUUGGCAAAAUGUGAGAACAAAAUGACAGUGAAAAAUCUCAACCUGUCACCAAGUAGGAAUGUGUAUUGAAGCUCUUUAAUGGAACACAUAAGAUAUACUUUUAAUAUAUAUACUUAUUAAAAUAAUAUCUAUUAAAACUUAUGAAAAAUACUCCAUGGAUAAUACUUAAUAAUACCUGGAGUAAUGAGAGUUGGACAAAUAUUUGAUCGGAUUCUGAGAUUUGUAUUGUGGUUGCAAACAGAUUUCGAGUGCCAGAGCUGACAGUGACCGGCCCAAAGGCUUUCUCUGUAAGAAAUCCCGUAAUCUGCAGUAAAGACUUGUGUUUUUUCUGCUUUGCAUCUCUUGCCUUUGGAACAUGUGUUUGCAAAGGCUUACAGAAGUAUUUGAGCAAAUGUGAAUUCUGCAUUUUUGGAGUUCACGGUGAUAUUUCUGUUCCUUUUUAGUAGAAUAUGAUUCGGUGUUUGUAACAUUAAGCUGUGUGUAUCAAUUUAACUUAUUAUGCUAUGUCUUAACUAGUUUAUCUGUCCUUGUCUAGAAAAAUAUAGUAAGUAGAUUUUAACAUUCAACUGUAAUAAAAAAACAUUAAUCCUCUUGAAAAGUGAGACAAAAGACAGUAUUACUGUACAUUGCUUGUAAAACGAGAAACAAGUUUGUACUGGUUACAUUAUUUUGUAUUUUCUAAUAUGCUCUUUAAUAAUGUUCGGCAUGAACUAAGCAGUAAGAGUCACAAUGUGAUUAUAUUGCAAAACUAAUUGUAAAGUAGCUUUACUUCAAAAUAGCCAAAUGAAAAAAAUAAUUUUGAUGCUAUAUCUUACAAAGAAGCACGCUUGUAAUUGCUUGUAGUAGCUAAUGUACAGUACUUUCAAUGAAAGUUAGGCUCUCAAUUUUUUCUAUGUAAUCCGUUUUCCAAUGUAACGAAUCAAACGCAAAACAUUUUUAAUGCAAAGUUUGAAUUGCAAGCUAUUUAUUUUGAGAAACUCUCAAAGGAAUGUUAACUUUAUCAGCCACGCUUGAAAUUUUGUUACAAUGCAAGUGAAGAUUAAAGCUAACUAAAAUCAAAGAAGAUAAUGUGUGUUGUUUUCUGUAGUGGGCACAAUUCAGCCCUUUUCUACGCAUCAGUUCUUUUUAAUUUAAUGGACUGUCAAACGUCAUGAAUUACAUGAACAGCUAUAUCCAUUGAGUACUGGAAAUGGUACAUUUUUCAUUAAAAAUUUCAGUCAAAGAAUGUAGCUUCAAUACAACCCACUAAAGGUCAUUAAAGGUACAUGCCAAUUUAGGUUCAGCAGCCUAAGACAAACUCCUAAUAUUUCAGUGGUUGAGGCAUCUGAGAGGUAGAUCUGGCCUUGGCCUACCUGAGGAGGACGAGGCUACUGGAACCUCUGCCCACGAAGACUGGAUGAAAUGAGUCAGACGGCCGCUCAGUAGCUGGGGAGACUGGGGGACGACGUCUGUGAAGGGGGGGCUUGUGAGCUGUAUGUGUGUGCAGGCAGGUCAACGGUCUAUUCUUGUUCUGUCUUCCUAACCAGUGUUCCAAACCUUGUUUAGUAGUUAAUUCCUAACAAGUAACAGCUAUUUUUCACUACAUGUACCUCAUGUAAAAUAUCCCCUUAAAGUUUCAAAUCAUUUCCUGCCCCCUGUGUAGACUACAGAAAAUUCAGAGCAGCCCUAGUGUUAGGAAUGAUAUCAUCACAGAUGACAGAAUCUUUGCCAAAAUCCAGCA
rnacentral:lncRNA from 1 species